UGCCAGCCGCCGCGGUAAUACGUAGGUGGCAAGCGUUAUCCGGAAUUAUUGGGCGUAAAGGGUGCGUAGGCGGUUUAAUAAGUCUGAAGUAAAAGGCAGUGGCUCAACCAUUGUAAGCUUUGGAAACUGUUAGACUAGAGUGCAGGAGAGGCAAAUGGAAUUCCAUGUGUAGCGGUAAAAUGCGUAGAUAUAUGGAGGAACACCAGUGGCGAAGGCGGUUUGCUGGCCUGUAACUGACGCUGAGGCACGAAAGCGUGGGGAGCAAAUAGGAUUAGAUA
rnacentral:rRNA from 1 species